rnacentral:rRNA from 1 species
GACGAACGCUGGCGGCGUGCCUAAUACAUGCAAGUUGAGCGCUGAAGGUUGGUACUUGUACCGACUGGAUGAGCAGCGAACGGGUGAGUAACGCGUGGGGAAUCUGCCUUUGGGCGGGGGACAACAUUUGGAAACGAAUGCUAAUACCGCAUAAAAACUUUAAACACAAGUUUUAAGUUUGAAAGAUGCAAUUGCAUCACUCAAAGAUGAUCCCGCGUUGUAUUAGCUAGUUGGUGAGGUAAAGGCUCACCAAGGCGAUGAUACAUAGCCGACCUGAGAGGGUGGUCGGCCACAUUGGGACUGAGACACGGCCCAAACUCCUACGGGAGGCAGCAGUAGGGAAUCUUCGGCAAUGGACGAAAGUCUGACCGAGAAACGCCGCGUGAGUGAAGAAGGUUUUCGGAUCGUAAAACUCGGUUGGUAGAGAAGAACGUUUGUGAGAGUGGAAAGCUCAUCAAGUGACGGUAACUACCCAGAAAGGGACGGCUAACUACGUG